AGCAGUGGGGAAUAUUGCACAAUGGGGGAAACCCUGAUGCAGCCAUGCCGCGUGUGUGAAGAAGGCCUUCGGGUUGUAAAGCACUUUCAGUAGGGAGGAAAGGGUAAGUCCUAAUACGGCUUAUCUGUGACGUUACCUACAGAAGAAGGACCGGCUAACUCCGUGCCAGCAGCCGCGGUAAUACGGAGGGUCCGAGCGUUAAUCGGAAUUACUGGGCGUAAAGCGUGCGCAGGCGGUUUGUUAAGCGAGAUGUGAAAGCCCUGGGCUCAACCUAGGAAUCGCAUUUCGAACUGACCAACUAGAGUCUUGUAGAGGGGGGUAGAAUUCCAGGUGUAGCGGUGAAAUGCGUAGAGAUCUGGAGGAAUACCGGUGGCGAAGGCGGCCCCCUGGACAAAGACUGACGCUCAUGCACGAAAGCGUGGGGAGCAAACAGGAUUAGAUACCCUGGUAGUCCACGCCGUAAACGAUGUCUACUCGGAGUUUGGUGUCUGAACACUGGGCUCUCAAGCUAACGCAU
rnacentral:rRNA from 1 species